UUCCUUUUGUGGUUCACAAGCAUGAGGCUGGGUUUCCACACCAGGUGAGAUGUGCCUGCCCCAAUCCUUGUUCCAACAUGGGCACUUUACCCACCCAAUG
ensembl:snoRNA